GAAAAAAGAAAAAAUGGACUGGGGAUGCCAUCGACUCAGUGAUUGAGUGCCCCUGGGUUCAAUACCUGGUACCAAAAAAAAAAAAAAACCAACCUCACUCCUUGCUUGUUUAUAGUAAUUUAUGUAUAAUUCAUUGUAAUAGUUAUUUAAAGGCAUAAUAGAAUAAAUCAAAUGUCCCACUUUUUUUCCCUAAAACUAUAGAAUUCCUGAGUAAUUCUUAUAGCAAAGUCUAAGACAAUAGAUUUUUUAAAAAUCCACCCAAAAUUCCAUAUAUAUAUAUAUAUAUAUAUAUAUAUAUAUAUAUAUAUAUAUAUAUCCAUAUAUAUACAUCCCCAGCUCUGGCCCUUUUUCUCUUGUUCUAGUCCAACUCCUCAGACAGAAACAGUUGCUCACAAGGAAAUUUGCCUCUUAUACUUCUGCUUUGCUUUUGGACACAGUCAAUGGAGAGAUUGAGAACACAGGCCCUAGAUAAACCAAAGUGAACAAUGCACUCUGAAAUCACGUAUGCAAGGAAGGCUUUGUGGGCAUGGAAAAGCUCCCCUCUAAGUAAGGUUAAGUCCUGGGAAGUAGGAACUGGCCAUCCAUUGUCAGGGUGUCCCAUCCCUUAAUCUUCCACCAUAGCCCUGGGAUGGCACACUGCCCACUGAGGUGAUGGGUUUGGAUGUAUAUGCAUUCUCUGGUACCUGUACACACACACAGAUACCCACACAUGCACACACAUGUGGUUGCAUAUGCAUGCGGACACAGAGGCAUCCCUCUUAGUUGUUUGACUCCUGCAGGGUUUGAAAAUAAGGUAUUGCUUCCACUUGGAGGCUGGGAGGAGCUGGUGAAGUUAGGAGUGCCCUUGAGGAGGGAACACAAAGAGACAAGUCAUCAGUAGCCACCACACAACAGCCCAUCAGUCAGGUCUGCCAGGCCCUGCUUCGGCUUGGAAGCCUUGUCUGCUGAGCACAACAGUAGCGAAGCUGACUCAUCACUGCCACCCGGGUGGCCCAGCUGUCAGAACAAGAUUGGCCUAUCUCCCCUCUGUUCGCGCUGCUUUGUCGAAAAAGCCACCGGUUGUGAAUCAUCUGCCCGUAUAGAGCCACGUGGGAAUCUCAAAGUUUAGUGGAGAGGAUGACAGAGUCAAAAUUCUCCUUCAGAGUAGGACCCUGCUGAGUCACUUUGAAGCCUUGAACAAAUUGCUUUUUCCUAAAUAAUUAAUUAUGACAGUUUUCAUUUAUUUAGCAGUUGACUGUGUGCCUGCUCCACUGGAGCCGAUAGACUCAAGACUCAUCCCGGCCACCACACAGACUCUCACCUUCCCUUAUGAAAUCUCCUCCUAGCCCCAGCAGUUUUGACACUGAUGGUAGUGAUAUCUCCGUUUUAUAGAUGAGAACACUGAGGCACAGAGAAUGUUAUCCCAGUUGAAGGACAAAAAGUGUAUCCAAAUUGCAAACUCCAAAUUCCUUAUUCUUUCCUGGACUUAUAUUUUUUCGUAUGAAAAACUGAGAAAUACUUCUUUCCACUUCUUUUGGUUUCCAGAGUCUGAGAUACACAUCUUUGUAAUCAAGAGCUUUGUUAACUGGGACACUAAGGAUCGGCUGUAUGUCUGUGUAUCUACCCUCCUGCUCAUCCUUUCCUGACAUUCUAUUUGUAACUUUCUUGUUGAUAACCAAAUCAUGUGUCUAUAAAUUCCAAAGAUUUGGUUUAUGCUGACUGCAGCCCCAGAAGGCAUGGACAUCAGUUUCCUAUAGUUAUUUAAAGUUACUAGUUAGAUUAAGAGCAAAAUGUCAUUUGGAUCCAAACCUCACCUAGCCAAAAUUCUUGCUAAAACUUCACGUCUUUAUAAGAGAAAUAGGAAAAUUAUCAAAUAGGCUAAGAUGAGGCAUCUGACUUAUAAACCAGCUUGUACAGUAUGUUUUAGAGAAUGUGUUCACAUUAAACCCACCUAGUAUACUGAUCAUAGAAAUUAAGGUGGGCCAUUGAGAAAUGAUUUAAUGAAUAAGGAUUUAUUGAAUAUAUACUACCUGUCACCAUGAUGCUCAGUAUCAGGGAUUCAAAAUCAAAUAAGGCACAGAGGAUGCUUAACCUCUAAGAAGGGACAAGCCAGUAAGUCAGGGGUGAUGAUGCACAGUGAAAAUGCCCUGUACACUGGUUCACAGAUGCUAGAGCUGAAGAGAACAGGCUGUGUUAACCUCACUGGGGCACCUGAGGCCUGCUAGAGGAGAUGACAUUUCAUGAAUCUGGUAUAAACAGUUUUGGAACUGAAAAAGUAUUUGGUCCAGUUUCCUGCAUUUGGAAAAGUGGAGAGGAACUCAAAGCACUGCCUACUUGAGUUCAUUUUUUAAUAAAGAUUUUCAGUGAGGAUUUCAAGCAGAGGCUUGAAAUCUGCAUAGAAUUUGAAAAUCAUUUGUCUAGAACUCUCAUUCCUUAACUUUUCUGGACCAUCCACUUAUUUUCAUACGCCUGGGUCUGAAACUAAUAAUAUCUUUCUUUCAUCAAUUC
rnacentral:lncRNA from 1 species